UACGUAGGGUGCAAGCGUUAAUCGGAAUUACUGGGCGUAAAGCGUGCGCAGGCGGUUUUGUAAGUCUGUCGUGAAAUCCCCGGGCUCAACCUGGGAAUUGCGAUGGAGACUGCAAGGCUAGAAUCUGGCAGAGGGGGGUAGAAUUCCACGUGUGAGCAGUGAAAUGCGUAGAGAUGUGGAGGAACACCGAUGGCGAAGGCAGCCCCCUGGGUCAAGAUUGACGCUCAUGCACGAAAGCGUGGGGAGCAAACGAGGAU
rnacentral:rRNA from 1 species